CCUGUAAAGGACGUAAUGAGUAGAGAGGAGAACACACCUGAAAGACCAGUGAAACCCAUCCUGUAAAGGACGUAAUGAGUAGAGAGGAGAACACACCUGACAGACCAGUGAAACCCAUCCUGUAAAGGACGUAAUGAGUAGAGAGGAGAACACACCUGAAAGACCAGUGAAACCCAUCCUGUAAAGGACGUAAUGAGUAGAGAGGAGAACACACCUGAAAGACCAGUGAAACCCAUCCUGUAAAGGACGUAAUGAGUAGAGAGGAGAACACACCUGAAAGACCAGUGGAAACCCAUCCUGUAAAGGACGUAAUGAGUAGAGAGGAGAACACACCUGAUAGACCAGUGAAACCCAUCCUGUAAAGGACGUAAUGAGUAGAGAGGAGAACACACCUGAAAGACCAGUGAAACCCAU